rnacentral:pre_miRNA from 1 species
AAUAAACCAAUUUUUCACUUUUUACCUAUAAUUUUUGACUCUUCGUCUUAUUAAAAAAAUUUUGUGAUUGUUAUUUUUGUUUUUAUUAGAUGAUAAAUCAUAAAUAGUACUCUACAUGUGACUAAUUUUUUUUCUAAUUUUCUAAAAAUCUUUCAAAUAAAACGGAUGGUCAAAGUUGGACAUUGA